rnacentral:rRNA from 1 species
AGCGUUGUUCGGAAUUACUGGGCGUAAAGCGUACGUAAGCGGUUAUUCAAGUCAGAGGUGAAAGCCCGGGGCUCAACCCCGGAACUGCCUUUGAAACUAGGUAGCUAGAAUCUUGGAGAGGUCAGUGGAAUUCCGAGUGUAGAGGUGAAAUUCGUAUAUAUUCGGAAGAACACCAGUGGCGAAGGCGACUGACUGGACAAGUAUUGACGCUGAGGUCCGAAAGCGUGGGGAGCAAACAGGAUUAGAUACCCUGGUAGUCCACGCCGUAAACGAUGAUAACUAGCUGUCCGGGCACUUGGUGCCUGGGUGGCGCAGCUAACGCAUUAAGUUAUCCGCCUGGGGAGUACGGUCGCAAGAUUAAAACUCAAAGGAAUUGACGAGGUAAAAACUCAAAGGAAUUGGGGGG